rnacentral:rRNA from 1 species
UACAGAGGUCUCAAGCGUUGUUCGGAUUCAUUGGGCGUAAAGGGUGCGUAGGCGGCGCGGUAAGUCGGGUGUGAAAUCUCGGAGCUUAACUCCGAAACUGCAUUCGAUACUGCCGUGCUUGAGGACUGGAGAGGAGACUGGAAUUUACGGUGUAGCGGUGAAAUGCGUAGAUAUCGUAAGGAAGACCAGUGGCGAAGGCGGGGUCUCUGGACAGUUCCUGACGCUGAGGCGCGAAGGCCAGGGGAGCAAACGGG